rnacentral:rRNA from 1 species
GACAGAGGGUGCGAACGUUGUUCGGAAUUACUGGGCGUAAAGCGCAUGUAGGCGGCAGCGCAAGUCGGGCGUGAAAUCCCACGGCUCAACCGUGGAAGUGCACUCGAAACUGCGCAGCUAGAGUCCUGGAGAGGAAGGUGGAAUGCUUGGUGUAGAGGUGAAAUUCGUAGAUAUCAAGCGGAACACCGGUGGCGAAGGCGGCCUUCUGGACAGUGACUGACGCUGAGACACGAAAGCGUGGGUAGCAAACAGG